rnacentral:rRNA from 1 species
UACGGAGGGUGCGAGCGUUGUCCGGAAUCAUUGGGCGUAAAGGGCGCGUAGGUGGCCCGGUAAGCGUGCGGUGAAAGCUUGGGGCUCAACCCCGAGUCGGCCGUGCGAACUGCUGGGCUUGAGCACUGUAGAGGCAGGCGGAAUUCCGGGUGUAGCGGUGGAAUGCGUAGAGAUCCGGAAGAACACCGGUGGCGAAGGCGGCCUGCUGGGCAGUGGCUGACACUGAGGCGCGACAGCGUGGGGAGCAAACAGG